UGUCCACGUAAUAGAAGGAGAUGGGCU
rnacentral:piRNA from 1 species